AUACGGAGGAUCCGAGCGUUAUCCGGAUUUAUUGGGUUUAAAGGGUGCGCAGGCUGCCAUUUAAGUCAGCGGUUAAAUCGUGGGGCUCAACCCCAUUCUGCCGUUGAUACUGGGUGGAUUGAUUGCGGUCGAGGUUGGCGGCAUUCGUUGUGUAGCGGUGGAAUGCAUAGAUAUGACGAAGAACACCGAUUGCGUAGGCAGCUGACCAGACCGCAAAUGACGCUCAUGCACGAAAGUGCGGGGAUCGAACAGGAUUAGAUACCCUGGUAGUCCGCACAGUAAACGAUGAAUACUUGUUUUCGGCGAUAUAAUGUCGGAGGCAAAGCGAAAGCGAUAAGUAUUCCACCUGGGGAGUACGCCGGCAACGGUGAAACUCAAAUGAAUUGACGGGG
rnacentral:rRNA from 1 species